ensembl:lncRNA
AUGCAGGAUAGGAUGGCCAGACAGAGUUGCCCAAGUCCCGGGUCAGCUGCCCAGAAGGCAACAAUGCCUAUGGCUCCUACUGCUACUACUUUAAUGAAGACCUUGAGACCUGGGUUGAUGCAGAUGUGGGUGAGGAGAGCAGUGUGGGAAGGGAGGCUCAUGAAGGCAGAGGCAGCUGCCUCUCUCCAGUGUGUUCAGUGGCUGAUAUAAGAUGAGACUAAUCAUUUCCCUAUCCAAUCAUCAGCCCAAACUUUCCAGUAUACUUAAUCCAUCAUUCAGCACAGAGAUGCUGAUGGUCAGUGAAAGCAUCAUCAGGGACAUUUCUGUGCGGUCCUUUUACUAUCACAUCCAUUGGGAGGGCUCACUAUGUCCCCC